GCCUUCGUGGUGUAAUGGUCAGCACACUCCGCGCAUAUUCGAGAGGUCCAGGUUCGAUUCCCUGCGAAGACA
rnacentral:tRNA from 1 species